GGGUGAACGCUGGCGGCGUGCUUGACACAUGCAAGUCGAACGGUAUGUGGCAACACAUAGAGUGGCGAACGGGUGAGUAACACGUGGGAACGUACCAUCUGCAAGGGGAUAACUGACCGAAAGGACAGCUAAUACCGCAUAAGUCCGGAAGGAGAAAGGUGCAAUAGCAUCGGCAGAAGAGCGGCCCGCGGUCCAUCAGCUAGUUGGUGAGGUAGGGGCUUACCAAGGCGACGACGGAUAGCCGGCGUGAGAGCGUGGCCGGCCACAAGGACACUGAGAUACGGGUCCUACUCCUACGGGAGGCAGCAGUGCGGAAUUUUAGAUAAUGGAGGGAACUCUGAUCUAGCAACGCCGCGUGCAGGAAGAAGGUCUUCGGAUUGUAAACUGCUGUGGUAAGGGAAAAAUGCUAUGUAGAGUGGAAAGCUACAUAGAGGGAUGGUACCUAACUAGAAAGCCCCGGCUAACUACGUGCCAGCAGCCGCGGUAAUACGUAGGGGGCGAGCGUUACCCGGAAUCACUGGGCGUAAAGGGAGCGUAGGUGGCCUAACAUGUCAACUGUGAAAACCCGGAGCUCAACUCCGGACUUGCAGUUGAAACUGGUAGGCUUGAGGACGGUAGAGGAAGACGGAACUGCCAGUGUAGGGGUAAAAUCCUUAGAUAUUGGCAGGAACGCCGGUGACGAAGGUGGUUUUCUGGGCCGGUUCUGACACUGAUGCUCGAAAGCCAGGGGAGCGAACGGGAUUAGAUACCCCGGUAGUCCUGGCCCUAAACGAUGUUCACUAGGUGUGGGGAGCGGAAAGCCCUCCGUGCUAAGGCUAACGCGAUAAGUGAACCGCCUGGGGAGUACGCCCGCAAGGGUG
rnacentral:rRNA from 1 species